rnacentral:misc_RNA from 1 species
GAUGAAGAACGUAGCGAAAUGCGAUACGUAAUGUGAAUUGCAGAAUUCAGUGAAUCAUCGAAUCUUUGAGCGCAUAUUGCGCUCUCUGGUAUUCCGGAGAGCAUGCUUGUUUGAGUAUCAGUAAACACCUCAACUCCCUUUUCUUUUUUGAAAUUGGAGCUGGACUUGAGUGAUCCCAACGCUUUCUUCCAAGAAAGUGGCGGGUUGCUUGAAAUGCAGGUGCAGCUGAACUUUUCUCUGAGCUAUAAGCAUAUCUAUUUAGUCUGCCUAAAAAACAGAUUAUUACCUUUGCUGCAGCUAACAUAAAGGAGACUAGUUCUUGUGCUGACUGAUGCAGGAUUCACAGAGACAGCUUCGGCUGACUUUGUAAACUCGAUCUCAAAUCAAGUAAGACUACCCGCUGAACGUAAGCAGAUCAAUAAGCGGAGGA